UAAUAAAGCGACAUUUGUAUUAUUUGCUUUAAGUUGUCGAUUAAAUCUCAGUAUAAAGAUAAUAGCCAUUCAUAUUCUAAUCACAGCAUUUUGAUCUAAUUGAUGAUUUGGGGUGUGAAUUUGAUGAGCAUUUGGCUAUAGCUGCCCAUCCUGCAAACGUGCUAGAGUUAUCGCUUCAGCCAUCAUGGGACAGAUUAGUUUCAAACAUAUCCUUCAAUGUGUCCAUACUGGCAUGAGUCCAGCAAACGUUAUGCAAAGCAAUCUUGAUCUACGAGUCUUUAACGACAGACUGAAAGUGAGAAGAAUACGAACUAUGUGGAAAUUGUUUCAUUGGUGGUAAUCAGGGAUAUGGAACGGAGCGGAUUGGAGCGUGGAGUGAAGCCGAGCAGGCCUAUUUUACCAGAGCGGCAGUGAAGCGUGAGCGAAAAUUUUUGAACCCGGAGCGAAGCGUUCUCCAAUCUCAAAAUUCGCUUCGCCCCGACAAAAUAAAAAGCUUUAAUAUACGCAUUUUCAUACCCUCCACCAUAGGAUGGGGGUAUACUAAUUUCGUCAUUCUGGUUGUAGCACAUCGAAAUAUUCCUCUAAGACCCCAUAAAGUAUAUAAAUUCUUGAUCGCCAUGA